UUUUAAAAAAUAAAUAAAUUUGCAAAGCUAUAAAGUUGGGUCAUAAGUAAAAAUAAGGAAACGUCCGAUUAGAGUGAGUAGUUUGGUGAGCGAAAAACUCAGGGUAUUGCAAUAGGUUGUCCGAGAGGGAAAAUUAUAAAAAUAAUAAAUUUGAUUUUAGUAGAGCUUAGAGCUUGUACCUUUUGCAUCAUGGUUUUCUAAGAAAGAGACUUGAAAAUCAAGUUCUCCCGAAAUGAGGUGAGCUAUCUUUUUACAAAUAAUUGACGUGGCAAAGUCAGGUAUAGAUGAAAAGAUUGGAGUGAAACGCUUGUCGCACCUUGUGAUAGCUGGUUUACUAGGAGAAGCAUCGAAGUGUUGAUUUAUUGUAGAGAUUUCAGUCAGAAAGUAGGACUAGUAAUACGGAGAUAGAAUUUAUGCGGGGGAGGAUCAGCUCUCUCGGUUGUUAAGAAAAAUAUUAGAUUGCUUGUUGUAAAGUGGGCUUAAGGUUAGUCAUUUUUAAAAAGUUUGUUAAAAAAUAACGAUUUAGUGGAGUAGUUAAUAUUUAUUUUUUUCUAGCAUUAGAAGUGUACUAGUAGUAAAGGUUAAAUAAUUAAACUCUUUUAAGAUACUGGAAGAAUGAGUAUUUUUAAAGAACUUUUAAAUGUUUUACCUAAUUAAUGGAAUUAACUAAAGAAAAGUAAAGGUUUAGUAAUAAAUUUAAUGAAGGAACUUGGCAAAUACUGGUCUCGCCUGUUUAUCAAAAACAUGGCUCUCUGCUAGUUAUAAAAAUGAGGAUAGAGAGUCUGACCUGCCCGGUGAUGUAGGAAUUAAACGGCCGCAGUACCCUGACUGUGCAAAGGUAGCAUAAUCAUUUGCCUUUUAAUUGAGGGCUAGUAUGAAAGGUUUGACGUGGACUAAGCUGUCUCCUGAGAAUUAUAUAGAAAUUAAUUUUUAGGUGAAAAAGCCUAAAUUUAGUUAUGGGACGAGAAGACCCCGUUGAGCUUUAACUAAACUUGAGGAUAGGGAAAACAAUAAAGUGUAUUGAACUGAUUUUUAAGGUGUUUUUAGUGGGGGAAAACGGAGGAACAAGUAGAGCUUCCUCUUUUUAUAGUAAAUUGGACCAUAUUUAAAAGAUGUGGGUAUAUUUAGAAAGUUGAAUUAAGGCUGAUGUGCAGAGGUUUAAUAAAAGGAUCCGUUGAAUAAAUAAAGACGAUUAAGGGAGAGAGUUACCACGGGGAUAACAGCGUAAUUUCUUCUGGAGAGUUCAUAUUGAAGGAGGGGUUUGCGACCUCGAUGUUGGAUUAAGACAUCCUGAGGGUGUAGCAGCUUUCAAGGGUUGGUCUGUUCGACCAUAAAAGUCUUACAUGAUCUGAGUUCAGACCGGCGUGAGCCAGGUUGGUUUCUAUCUUUAAACUUGAAGAUAUCUUCGGCUAGUACGAAAGGAUUGCUGUAUAAUUGGAUAAAUUAUUUAUAGUUUGUGAAUUACAAUAACAGAUGAAUAAGAGAAAUUUGGUUGAGAAAGUCUA
rnacentral:rRNA from 1 species